AAGGAGCAUCUCCUGUCUCGGACCAGCACGUAGGUGCUGGGGGAGCAGGCAGAGCCAUUACGGAUUCACAGGUAAUCCGGUGGUGCUCAUGGGUGGAACGCUGACAAUCAUCACCGCGUAUGGCGGGGAUACAGAUCCUCGUCGCGGUGGUUAUAUCGGUGCACUGUUGGGUCCUGAGAGAACACGCAAUGUGUUUGAUCAGCGACGAUGACUUACGAAGGCGGUUGGCCGUGUGGCCGGCGUUGGUAGGGGUUGUUGUGUGUUGUUUGAGAACUGCACAGUGGACGCGAGCAUCUUUGUU
rnacentral:misc_RNA from 1 species